UACGGAGGGGGUUAGCGUUGUUCGGAAUUACUGGGCGUAAAGCGCGCGUAGGCGGGUUGUUAAGUUAGAGGUGAAAUCCCGGGGCUCAACCCCGGAACUGCCUUUAAUACUGGCAACCUAGAGUUCGAGAGAGGUGAGUGGAAUUCCGAGUGUAGAGGUGAAAUUCGUAGAUAUUCGGAGGAACACCAGUGGCGAAGGCGGCUCACUGGCUCGAUACUGACGCUGAGGUGCGAAAGUGUGGGGAGCAAACAGGAUUAGAUACCCGGGUAGUCC
rnacentral:rRNA from 1 species